AGAAACAGUUAACAGUCAGACUGCAUCUCAGCCCUGUCAAGAUGAAUCUCCAUAAUAGGUGAUGAAUAGUUUUAUUUGGGGGAUAUAUUAACUUUUACUAUUGGGGAAAAGUUUUAGAUUGGUUUGCCAGCUUGUGCCCCAUCAAGUUGAGGCCAAUAGAUAUACAUUCACAGCCCUGUAUCCAUCAAAUAAUCAACUAUAUGUGUGACUUUGGGACUGAUUCAUACAACCACAUUUCCUUUCUCAAGAAAGGUUGGAAGUCUAUUGUAGAUCACUCCCUCUAAAGGACCAGGUUCAGCGUCUGGGGUGAUGACAGAGCCAACAUUUUCACUGGAUAUCCAAGCGGCGUCUGUGGUAUGUAACACCUUUCAGCAGCUAAAACUGUUGGACCAGCUGUGCCUUCUUAUUCACAUUCUAGUAAUUCCUAAGAUGACUGCUGCCAUGCCUUGCACAUGAGACUACCCUUGAAGACUUCUUGGAGGCUUCCAUUAGCACAAAAUGCACCUGCCAGGCUACUAAUGGAGACUGGCAAUGGCGAACAUAUUUUCCCAGUGCUUAAACAACACCGCCAGUCCUCUUUCAGGAAUAAUUCAGACUGCAGGUCAUAGGGCUAAAUAGCUAUUUGAAGGAUGCUUUUUACUAUAUAAACACACCUGGUUCCUU